GACGAACGCUGGCGGCGUGCUUAACACAUGCAAGUCGAACGGAAAGGCCCUGCUUUUGUGGGGUGCUCGAGUGGCGAACGGGUGAGUAACACGUGAGUAACCUGCCCUUGACUUUGGGAUAACUUCAGGAAACUGGGGCUAAUACCGGAUAGGAGCUCCUGCUGCAUGGUGGGGGUUGGAAAGUUUCGGCGGUUGGGGAUGGACUCGCGGCUUAUCAGCUUGUUGGUGGGGUAGUGGCUUACCAAGGCUUUGACGGGUAGCCGGCCUGAGAGGGUGACCGGCCACAUUGGGACUGAGAUACGGCCCAGACUCCUACGGGAGGCAGCAGUGGGGAAUAUUGCACAAUGGGCGGAAGCCUGAUGCAGCAACGCCGCGUGCGGGAUGACGGCCGUCGGGUGGUAAACCGCUUUCGCCUGUGACGAAGCGUGAGUGACGGUAAUGGGUAAAGAAGCAACGGCUAACUACGUG
rnacentral:rRNA from 1 species